UGCGCCACUGCACUCCAGCCUGGGCGAGAGAGCGAGACUCCGUCUCAAAGAAAAAAAAAAAAGAAAGAAAAGGCUAAGUGCUUUGGAAGUCAGAAGCGUUAGGGCGUAACUUGUGGCUUAGGUGAUCAAUACAGGGUAAGGAGAGGACAUCUGAACAGGUUUUGGAAGAUGGGUAGAAAUUUAAUAUCAUUGAUUUCACUGUAUCACUUUGUAAUCAAUGUUCCUAUGCUUUAUUAUAUGCUUUCUCUGGAGCAAACGGUUUGAAAUCAGUCAUUCUGAAAAUAUUCAGUGUCUUAAGAUAAAGAGUCCUAUUAUAAUUUUGGCUUUUUAAAAUCAAAGGCAUAAUAAAUAACCUAUUCUCUUUGUCUGUCUUCAGCUUGAGACUAGCAGUUCAUUCUCAUGUAUCUCAUUUAAACUGAGAUUUUCAAGGUCUGCUCUUAGAGAAAUGCCAUAAACAUAAUUUGUGUACUCCAGGAAAGGCAAAUGGAACAUCAAAUGGAGAUCAAUAAAAAUGACAUUUCAAAA